GGAGGGAAGGAAGAAAGAAAGAAAAAAAGAAAGAAAGAAAGAAAGAAAGAAAGAGCGAAAAAGUAAUAAUAACGAAAAUAUGCAAAAUAAAUUAAUGUCGUGAGAUUUUCGAAACGGUGCACAUGAUGGACUAGGAACUAGCAUUCAACGGAUUUGCGGAUCAAUCAUUUUACAGGACAAGGAAGAUGCGUUUCUCGUUCGAGUAAAGCCUCAUUAAUCGUUUCUUAAAAAUCGUAACCAAAAUUAAUAUAUGCGGUAUUUUGAAGUACGAAAGCGCAGAGAAUUUAUAAAUAAAUAAAGCGUACUUCAAAAUUCCUCCUUUUGUGCGUCGCUCUACCCACGGUGAUCGUUAUAAAAUGGACUAUGUACUGUCUGGUUAUAUGGCUACGCAUAGAUAUAUAGUCAUGUACGAAACAUGCUGUAUUUUCCAAUUAUUUUUUUAUUUACAAUAUUUCGUAAGAUAUAUAUGCUCCGAAAAGGAAAUGAAAACAAAGUAGUUUUAACGGUUGUGCGUCUUUGAAUAUGAAAAAGAAACAACAACAAGAAGAAAAAAAAAAAGAAACAUCAUUUUCCUUUACCCCCCGGUGAAUUCGAUUUAUUUACAUACAUAUCUUUUUUUCACAACACACAUACUCUGUAACUUUUUAAACUGCUCCUAUGUAUUUUCUAAUCUGUUAGCAGAGUAUAGACGUGCUUCUUUAGUAGUAUUACACUUAUGCUCUCGUUAUUAUCAUUACUAUUAAUUAAUUACCAUUACUUAUAAUUCUAUGGAUAAAAAGCAUAAUACAUCACCGAGUCACCGAUCCUUAGGCACACAAAAUGUCGUUCUAUUUUUUUAUUAUUUUAUUAUUUUUUUCUUUUUUCCUAUACCUAUUCGGGCGGGCGGCAAAUUUGAAAUAUAUACUGUUCGAAUUGUAUCGAAGAAAAAUAUGCAAAAUUGUGAUUGUAAAUUUAUUGCGUAUUAUUAUUACUCGACGUUGCCGACUUUUGCCCAUUUUUGUACUUUUAUUUAUUUAUAUUUUAUUUCAUUUUUUUCCUGCUUUCCUUCUUUAAAUAAAUUCGGGAAACGUCACAUCGAGCUCUCUUUUACAAAUAGGAGCUUUCUCUCUUCGCAUCUUUUCUGUUAAAUAUACCUCUGAGGAGUAUUUAAGAGACUAAGGAAUUCAAAUCGAAAUAUAAAACGCUUCUUGUAAAAAAGAAAAACUAUAUAAUUAUUCUAACGUUUAAACGAAAUGUAGAGAUUUGAACGUCGUACUUGUUUAAGAGAGAGAGAGGGAGAGAGAGAGAGAGAGAGAGAGAGAGAGAUAGAGAGAGAGAGAGAGAGAGAGAGAGAGAACAGAAUAAUAUUAAGAACGAACUGAAGGUGGAACGAAAGGAAAAUUGAAAAAAAAAAAAAUUGUCUGUGAUUAUCAGUCAUAAUAAUCUUUAGGUCAACAUAUUUUUUAGAGGAUAUUUUUUAGGAAAUUACAAAAUUUAUAAUAUACCCCUAUUAUUGAUACGAUAUUCGAUCAGACAUGCUACGCAUAACUAUUAAAGUGAAAAUUGAAACUGUAAAAGUUGCUAACUGUUUAAUAGAGUUAUGGACUAGUUGAGAUAUCGAUGGCUGUUGUAAAAUAUUCAGUGUUUGGACAAAUAAUUAUUGAAAACUAUUUAUAGCUACUAAUUAUCGAGGUAUAAUGAUACUAUUAUUAUAUCGCAUGUUGUGUAGUAGCAUUUUUAUCCCUUCAUGCGUUUAUCAUACAUUUAUUAUUCACGAAGAAAUAUAUUAAGGAAUCGCAGAAAAAAAAAAAGGAAAGGGAGAACAAAAUCGAUCACGUCGUAUGUAGACUCGCGCAAAAUCGAUAUUCGCAAAAAAGGAGAAGAAAAAAGUAAAGUAAAAAAAAAAAAGCGAAAAAGAAAAAAAACAAAACGAGAUACAAAUUCAAACGAAGAGAGCCUAUGGGAAAGCGAGGCACACGUGACAUAUCCUUCAUCUGCGUAUUAUAAAUCUCUUUUAUUAUUAUUAUUAUUAUUAUUAUUAUUAUUAUUAUUAUUAUUAUUAUUAUUAUUAUUAUUACGAUUAUGAUUAUGAUUAUUAUUAUGACUAUUAUUAUUAUAAAUCCAUCUACUCGCCGCAGAAAAGAAAGAAAGAAAAAAAAAAUGAAAUAAAAAUAAAACUAAACUUAUGAAAUAAUCGUAAAUAAUCUCUACAUUUUAACCAGGAACGCUAUGCGCGCAAAAUGCGCGCAUAACGCUCAUAGCCGCUUUUGUCACGACACACAUACACACCGCGCUCGCGCUAGCGCGCGCACGCACACGUCAAAAGAAGAAGAAGAAGAACAUACAGACACGUUUUGUAAAAACUAAAUGUUUUGUUAGUAUUAUAUCAUAAGAAAUUAAGGAAAUAAAAGCGCAAAACUUGAAA